GAAAGGCUGCAGUGAAAUAUUCGCAGGUUCGGAAAGUGAUCGUCACACUUUGCCCACAGACUGCAGCUGGGCGUUACCGAGGCGCCUCAAUUAGG
rnacentral:ncRNA from 1 species